AGAAAAGUAAGUGCCGCCCCGCACAGGGGCGACGCUAAUAGACCACUAAAAAAUCAGGUUCUACAGAGAGACGCGAGAUAACAGACAACAACAACACCAUCAAACCCGC
rnacentral:sRNA from 1 species